rnacentral:rRNA from 1 species
CUCGUGGAAAGUCCUCGUGUUGCAUCCC